GAUGAACGCUGGCGGUAUGCUUAACACAUGCAAGUCGAACGGACUCUUCGGAGUUAGUGGCGGACGGGUGAGUAACGCGUGAGAAUCUGGCUUUGGGUUCGGGACAACCACUGGAAACGGUGGCUAAUACCGGAUGUGCCGAGAGGUAAAAGAGAAAUUGCCUGAAGAUGAGCUCGCGUCUGAUUAGCUAGUUGGUGAGGUAAAGGCUCACCAAGGCAGCGAUCAGUAGCUGGUCUGAGAGGAUGACCAGCCACACUGGGACUGAGACACGGCCCAGACUCCUACGGGAGGCAGCAGUGGGAAAUUGUCCGCAAUGGGCGAAAGCCUGACAGAGCAAUACCGCGUGAGGGAAGAAGGCUCUUGGGUUGUAAACCUUUUUUCUUAGGGAAGAACAAAAUGACGGUACCUAAGGAAUCAGCACCGGCUAACUCCGUG
rnacentral:rRNA from 1 species